UUUUCCGGUUGAUCCUGCCGGAGGUUACUGCUAUCGGUGUUCGCCUAAGCCAUGCGAGUCAUAUGUUCUUCGUGAACAUGGCGUACUGCUCAGUAACACGUGGAUAACCUGCCCUUGGGUCCGGCAUAACCCCGGGAAACUGGGGAUAAUUCCGGAUAACGCACAUAUGCUGGAAUGCUUUAUGCGUAAAAUGGAUUCGUCUGCCCAAGGAUGGGUCUGCGGCCUAUCAGGUAGUAGUGGGUGUAAUGUACCUACUAGCCAACAACGGGUACGGGUUGUGAGAGCAAGAGCCCGGAGAUGGAUUCUGAGACAUGAAUCCAGGCCCUACGGGGCGCAGCAGGCGCGAAAACUUUACAAUGCGGGAAACCGUGAUAAGGGGACACCGAGUGCCAGCAUCAUAUGCUGGCUGUCCGGGUGUGUAAAAUACACCUGUUAGCAAGGGCCGGGCAAGACCGGUGCCAGCCGCCGCGGUAACACCGGCGGCCCGAGUGGUGAUCGUGAUUAUUGGGUCUAAAGGGUCCGUAGCCGGUUUGGUCAGUCCUCCGGGAAAUCUGAUAGCUCAACUAUUAGGCUUUCGGGGGAUACUGCCAGACUUGGAACCGGGAGAGGUAAGAGGUACUACAGGGGUAGGAGUGAAAUCUUGUAAUCCCUGUGGGACCACCUGUGGCGAAGGCGUCUUACCAGAACGGGUUCGACGGUGAGGGACGAAAGCUGGGGGCACGAACCGGAUUAGAUACCCGGGUAGUCCCAGCCGUAAACGAUGCUCGCUAGGUGUCAGGCAUGGCGCGACCGUGUCUGGUGCCGCAGGGAAGCCGUGAAGCGAGCCACCUGGGAAGUACGGCCGCAAGGCUGAAACUUAAAGGAAUUGGCGGGGGAGCACAACAACGGGUGGAGCCUGCGGUUUAAUUGGAUUCAACGCCGGGAAUCACUAGU
rnacentral:rRNA from 1 species